rnacentral:rRNA from 1 species
UACGUAGGGUCCGAGCGUUGUCCGGAAUUACUGGGCGUAAAGAGCUCGUAGGUGGUUUGUCGCGUUGUUCGUGAAAACUCACAGCUCAACUGUGGGCGUGCGGGCGAUACGGGCAGACUAGAGUACUGCAGGGGAGACUGGAAUUCCUGGUGUAGCGGUGGAAUGCGCAGAUAUCAGGAGGAACACCGGUGGCGAAGGCGGGUCUCUGGGCAGUAACUGACGCUGAGGAGCGAAAGUGUGGGGAGCGAACAGG